rnacentral:rRNA from 1 species
GUAACAAGGUUUCCGUAGGUGAACCUGCGGAAGGAUCAUUACCGAGUGAGGGCCCUCUGGGUCCAACCUCCCACCCGUGUUUAUUUUACCUUGUUGCUUCGGCGGGCCCGCCUUAACUGGCCGCCGGGGGGCUUACGCCCCCGGGCCCGCGCCCGCCGAAGACACCCUCGAACUCUGUCUGAAGAUUGUAGUCUGAGUGAAAAUAUAAAUUAUUUAAAACUUUCAACAACGGAUCUCUUGGUUCCGGCAUCGAUGAAGAACGCAGCGAAAUGCGAUACGUAAUGUGAAUUGCAAAUUCAGUGAAUCAUCGAGUCUUUGAACGCACAUUGCGCCCCCUGGUAUUCCGGGGGGCAUGCCUGUCCGAGCGUCAUUGCUGCCCUCAAGCACGGCUUGUGUGUUGGGCCCCGUCCUCCGAUCCCGGGGGACGGGCCCGAAAGGCAGCGGCGGCACCGCGUCCGGUCCUCGAGCGUAUGGGGCUUUGUCACCCGCUCUGUAGGCCCGGCCGGCGCUUGCCGAUCAACCCAAAUUUUUAUCCAGGUUGACCUCGGAUCAGGUAGGGAUACCCGCUGAACUUAAGCAUAUCA